AUGCACGCUGGCGGCGUGCUUCACACAUGCCAGUCGCACGAAGCAUUUAAGACAGAUUCCUUCGGUUUGAAGUCUUUUAUGACUGAGUGGCGGACGGGUGAGUAACGCGUGGGUAACCUGCCUCAUACAGGGGGAUAGCAGCUGGAAACGGCUGGUAAUACCGCAUAAGCGCACAGUACCACAUGGUACAGUGUGAAAAACUCCGGUGGUAUGAGAUGGACCCGCGUCUGAUUAGCUUGUUGGCGGGGUAACGGCCCACCAAGGCGACGAUCAGUAGCCGACCUGAGAGGGUGACCGGCCACAUUGGGACUGAGACACGGCCCAGACUCCUACGGGAGGCAGCAGUGGGGAAUAUUGCACAAUGGAGGAAACUCUGAUGCAGCGACGCCGCGUGAGUGAAGAAGUAGUUCGCUAUGUAAAGCUCUAUCAGCAGGGAAGAUAGUGACGGUACCUGACUAAGAAGCUCCGGCUAAAUACGUG
rnacentral:rRNA from 1 species